UGUCACAGUCAUAUCACCCUGUAGCCCAAGACUGGUUGCCCACUGAAGCUAAGCAGGGUUGACCCUGGUUAGUACCUGGAUGGGAGACCUCCUGGGAAAACUAGGUUGCUGUUGGAA
rnacentral:rRNA from 1 species